rnacentral:rRNA from 1 species
GACGAAGGAUGCAAGCGUUAUCCGGAUUCAUUGGGUUUAAAGGGAGCGUAGGUGGCCUUGUAAGUCAGUGGUGAAAUCCUGUCGCUUAACGAUAGAAUUGCCAUUGAUACUGCAGGGCUUGAGUACAGUUGCCGUUGGCGGAAUAUGACAUGUAGUGGUGAAAUACAUAGAUAUGUCAUAGAACACCGAUUGCGAAGGCAGCUGACGAAACUGUAACUGACACUGAGGCUCGAAAGUGUGGGGAGCAAACAGG